rnacentral:miRNA from 1 species
CUCCCACAUAAGAAUUUAUUAGAUGUGUGUGUGUGUGUGUGUGUGUGUGUAUAUAUAUAUACAUACACACACACACACACACACACACACAUAU